rnacentral:rRNA from 1 species
GUUUGUUAUGAAAAUAUUUAUAGUCUAGCCUGCUCACUGAUAUAAUAUAUUAAAUAGCCGCGGUAUCUUGACCGUGCAAAGGUAGCAUAAUCAUUAGUUUUUUAAUUGGAAACUUGUAUGAAUGGUUGGACAAAGAAGAAUCUGUCUCUUUUAUUAAUAUUGAAUUUAACCUCUAAGUGAAAAGGCUUAGAUCUUCUAGAGGGACGAUAAGACCCUAUAAAGCUUUAUAAGUUAAAAAAUUUUAUAUAUUUUUGGUUAAAAAUAAUUUUUUGAGUACUUAUUUGGUUGGGGCGACAAAAGUAUAAAAAGUAACUGCUAAAACUUAAUACAAAAAUAGAUGAUUAAAUAUAUUAAUAGAUCCUUUAUAAGGAUUCUAAGAUCAAGUUACUUUAGGGAUAACAGCGUUAUUUCUCCUGAGAGUUCUUAUCAAAGGAGAAGUUUGCGACCUCGAUGUUGAAUUAAAAUGUCUUUAUAGUGCAGCAGCUAUAAAAGAAGGUCUGUUCGACCUUUAAUAUUUUACAUGA